GUCCAAUGGGAACAAAUAGUGUCAAUUUGAUCCAUUUGAUCCAUUUGAUCCAUUUGAUCCAUUGGACAAGCCUUACGCUGGCAAAGCACAGCAUGACUCCAUUUGACCAUUUAACAAUGCUUUGUCAAAUGGACGAAAAUGGUGUCCAUUUGAACUGUCGGAACCAUUUGAAUUGUUUUAUUUCAAAUGGAACAAAUGUCGUCCAUUUGAUCGGUUUGAACGGCAUUUGAAAUGUGUUUUGUCCAUUUGAGUCGAAUGGUCGAUAUUGGACAUAUAUGGAUUCGAAAAUGUCAUGCUAUCACAUUCUUAUGAAAUUGCUCCUGUGUUGGUUUGUUAGAAAGUAAAAGUAGCU